UCUGGUACCUUCGGUGCCCGAGUUGUAAUUUGGAGAGGGCAACUUUGGGGCCGUUCCUUGUCUAUGUUCCUUGGAACAGGACGUCAUAGAGGGUGAGAAUCCCGUGUGGCGAGGAGUGCGGUUCUUUGUAAAGUGCCUUCGAAGAGUCGAGUUGUUUGGGAAUGCAGCUCUAAGUGGGUGGUAAAUUCCAUCUAAAGCUAAAUAUUGGCGAGAGACCGAUAGCGAACAAGUACAGUGAUGGAAAGAUGAAAAGAACUUUGAAAAGAGAGUGAAAAAGUACGUGAAAUUGUUGAAAGGGAAGGGCAUUUGAUCAGACAUGGUGUUUUGUGCCCUCUGCUCCUUGUGGGUAGGGGAAUCUCGCAUUUCACUGGGCCAGCAUCAGUUUUGGUGGCAGGAUAAAUCCAUAGGAAUGUAGCUUGCCUCGGUAAGUAUUAUAGCCUGUGGGAAUACUGCCAGCUGGGACUGAGGACUGCGACGUA
rnacentral:rRNA from 1 species